CUAGCACACUGUUCCGUGACAGGCUCUGAUAUCAUUUGUAACAGUACAAGUCUACCACUACUAGAUAUUGCCUGUUUUGGCUUGUUAUGUAUUGUCAUUAGCCUCACGGUUUUAAAAUGCGUUUAUUAGGGAGAGGUUUCUACACCCUUAUAAGGAAUGCUUUGUU